rnacentral:tRNA from 1 species
UGGGAUAUAGCUCAAUGGUAGAACAUUUGUCUAGCAUGCAUGAGGCCCUGGGUUUGAUCCCCAGUACUGCAA